rnacentral:lncRNA from 1 species
CUACUGACCUUUCCUCACGUGGCUCUUCUGCUUUCUACUGUCAGGUUAUUCCUGUCUCAUUCCCCAUGAAGCCCCGCUCAGGGAUCAGAUCGGACUUGCGUUGUUCUUUUUUAAGGAAGAGAAAACUGUGCCGCAGCCUCCCAUCUUCCUGCUUCUGGAAAGGCGGUGAACAGUGGCUGAGAUUGGAGCUGCGGGCAGCCUCACCUGAGAUUGGGCCUCGGUCCUCCCUCGCUUCCCUGCCACUCCUGCUCCGAAAUCCAAGAAGUGGUGGGCCGGCCUCAGGAGCAGUCCAGCCCUUCCAGACACACACGUUGCCCCCGUGAGGGAAAUCGCCACACAAGGAGGCAUUAGUCGUGGAAAAAACCCAGCAUCACGAGACUGCAGAGCCGUCCCUUCUCCACAUUAUGAUUCACUGACUCACUAGGCAUCUCCCAUCACUGAAGACAAGUGUUCCAUGUGGCUGAGAAAAAAGUUCGGUUUUAAGAAAAAUCUUGAGUGUCGUCUUUUUGUGCCUUUCUAAAAACCACCGUGACACACACAGGGUUGCAUGACUCGUGUUCCUAUUAAACUUUAGAAGACUCAGACAAUCCAGCAUCGGAACAGAACAAAGUGGAAAGUUCUGGCGAAUGUUAGCAUUGAAGAAGCCACGAGGUCAUGGCUUCCCCCGGGUGGUGAUAUGACUGGUCUAGUGAGGACCACACCAGCCACAGUCGGGUACCUCUGCCUGGAGCCCUCACUCCUACCUACCUUUUGAGGAAGGGGACGCCGGACAGCAUUAGGAGCACCCUUACCUGUGCCCCCAGCUAUCCUGUUAACAGAGACAGAGAACAUGUUCAGCAAAGGCUUCGGGGAUAAGAUGAGGCUUUUAAAAGAAUGUACAGGGGGUUGAAGGGCCCUCAUUCCUGGAGUAAGGACUGUCAGGAGCCCUGCUGUGGCCUGGAGGUAGCGGGUGAUCCUGAGGGUAGUGAGUGAGGAAGAGAGGCCAUCAGCUGACCAGGAAUAUAGAGUUAAUUACAGUUGGAUCAUGAGAUUUGCACAAGCAAACAGAAAAUGUUAGAAAUGGUGAGGAAAGAGAAAGUCCAGAGCUAACAUGGAGAAACGAAGGUUUGGAAAAAUAAAAGCAGUGACUUAACAGGAAACCCAGGGAAGAGUGAAAGCUUUUCUGGAAAACUGCCCCUGGGGAGCAGGAAUGUUGCUGCCUGGAAAAUGGGGUGGCAGCCGCUUCCCUUGUUUUUGUAAGAAGAGAGAAGAGAUACCUUCAAAAGGCUUCGGUGAGAAAUUCAGCAAGCUGAGGUCUGAGAUUUCCUGUACAAAAAGGAAAAGAUCUUCCUGUAAAAAAAAAAAAAAAAAAAAAAAAAAAAAAAAAAAAAGACUGAUCUACAGCCUAUUCCCUGGGGCCAGUUAUUAAGAAACUAAAGCUACAGAAUUUUAUUGACAAGCCACAGAAGAGACCGUAAAGCAAAAAAAAGGUGAGGCGAGUUGAUGUAUGAAAACUGAUCACGGCCAGAAACACAGGGUCUCCAGGAGCUGGUGUGGAUGGGCCCAAGACCAGUCCUAAUAAUUGGGAUCUCUGCCCCCGCCCCCACCCCCAGCGUCACCAGCUAGUCCAGCAUCACCAAUGUGUCCUCGGGGAACUGUGUGGCAAUGUGAGUCUUAGAGCAUGUGCUGAAUAGGUUCCAAAACUCCAGGCAGAGGAACAUCCCCUCAUAUCAUGGUGUUUAUCAAAUGUUCACAACGGUGUAUGACCUGCCUCAGACCUCGGGAGGCCAGUCUCAGCCAGGACCCCGUCACUUCUUGUUUAAUUACCCAUUGAGGCAACCCUUACAGUGCCUUUGACAUACAGAAGAACCUGUACUUUCCUCCACCGGUUAUAUCCCGAAACUUGGGGUGAGCGCAACUGAGGAGACUAGAAGGGAACCUGAUAGAAAUGAUAUCUGACUUAGGGGAGAAGAAGGAGAUUAAGUCUGUUAGAUCCGUCUUAAUUUUCUGUCAACAAAUGUCUUCUCCCUUUAACUUCUUUGUCACCUGAUUUCUGUUGCAGUGGGGUGCGUUUCUGAAGAGCGUGAAUGUAAGUCUGUGGAAACGGAGACAGGUGCAGUGAUGUACGAGCCUGAAGGCCAUUUCCAGCUUUGUCCCGUGCAGCACCAAGUUCGGGCGAUGCGAAGGGGCGUUUCACCAGGAGUGGUCAUUUACAUUUUAGAUUUAAUAAUACGCUGUGAUAAUAGACUGGUUGUCAGACCUAAAUUAAUCCAGAGACGAUGAAACUUAAAAGGAAUGGCUUUUAUUUUUCAGUUCCUGGCUUCUCACCAACCUCUCGCCCAGAGUUUAAAAUAUCUGCCGGGAAUCCAUUCGGGAAUGCCACAGGGGAUCCUGAAAUUUGGGAAGAAUCCUCCUUCAGAGGAGCAAGUGGAAGAACUGGGUGAGUGGGAGGCGCUUGCUGGCCCUGAGCGGGACGUUGGGCAAAGGCAGGCGCUGGAAGAAUUCGUUUGAACUGUGUUGAGGAAGGCGCAUCUUGGAAGGCUAGAGAAGUCAGACAGUUGAGAAUUUCUAAUAAAAACAAGGCGGGAUGCGUGACACCAUGGCACACACUGAACAACGAGGGACAUUUCAGCUGGGGAGCUGAGGAAGCCGGUUGGGAUGUGGACAUCAUCUUUCCAAAAUAUGAAGGCCCCGCAAAAUAAGUCAGCCUUGCAAUUUUGUUUUUAACCUGUGACCUGAUACGGGAGCAGGAACUGACUUUGAAAACCGUGAUUAUCAGAAGAAGGUCCUUGGUUGGCUGUGCCACACCUUGACUGCGUUGAUGCCACGGGUCUCCCUGCUGAAUCGUAGUUUCAGGGCCUCACAGGUGCACCUGCCAAGCCCAGGUCCAAAUCCUGCUGGGCACAUCCUUGAGGCAUUCGCUGGGCUCAGAAGGUAAAGCUGCCGAGUGGACGACACCAUGGACAGUUCCAAGCAGUCACCCCAACAUGGCUUACCUCCUGUCCCCGCCACACCCCUCUGUGGAAUUUACAGGGAUGCCUUCCGCUAUAAACCAGCCUGCCCGGGCCAGUGGGCUCCAAGUGCGGCUCGGAUCCACAGCAUCAGUGCCGCCUGGGAACUUGUUAGCGAGGCACCACUUCGGGUUCUAGGCCACCAUCUGCCCCAGAUUUCUCCAUCUUGGGACCGGUCAACUCUCCCUCGCUGGCCACGUGGCAAGUGUCGUAAGCGAUUGAUUUCCACAUCCUCCCUCACAGACGUGUGAUGCUGCGUCAUCAAAUGAUAGGUAUCCAUAUAAAUCUGGAGUUUUGUUCUGGACUGUAUCCUAUGCUAUUGAUCUAUCUUUCCGUU